rnacentral:rRNA from 1 species
UGCGUAGGCGGGCUAAUAAGUCAGUGGUGAAAUCUUCCGGCUCAACCGGGAACCUGCCAUUGAUACUGUUAGUCUUGAGUUCUGUUGAGGUAGGCGGAAUGUGUAAUGUAGCGGUGAAAUGCUUAGAUAUUACACAGAACACCAAUUGCGUAGGCAGCUUACUAGACCGACACUGACGCUGAGGCACGAAAGCGUGGGGAGCGAACAGGAUUAGAUACCCUGGUAGUCC